rnacentral:other from 1 species
AACUUCCUGGGCUGCUCGACGGUCGGAUAGGUCCUCGAGCCGAUGCGUACUACUCAGGUGGCUACUUCAGGUCAUUGUGAGCAAGUCCCCCACUGCAGGGGAAAGCCUAAUGUGGCACAAGCGGCCACCACCUUGAAUCUUAGGGUUCAAGGGCUACUCCGAAGGCGACAGCCCGGGAAGCUA